UCUCCGUAGGUGAACCUGCGGAGGGAUCAUUACAGAGUUCAUGCCCUAUCGGGUAGAUCUCCCACCCUAUGUUAUUAUUACUUUGUUGCUUUGCCCGGCCGUUAGGCUCCGGCCCGACUACCGGCCCCGGCUGGUAAGCGCCCGCCAGAGGACCCAAAACCCUGAAUAAUAGUGUCGUCUGAGUACUAUAUAAUAGUUAAAACUUUCAACAACGGAUCUCUUGGUUCUG
rnacentral:misc_RNA from 1 species